GAUGAACGCUGGCGGCGUGCCUAAUACAUGCAAGUCGAGCGAACAGACGAGGAGCUUGCUCCUUUGACGUUAGCGGCGGACGGGUGAGUAACACGUGGGUAACCUACCUAUAAGACUGGGAUAACUUCGGGAAACCAGAGCUAAUACCGGAUAAUAUUUCGAACCGCAUGGUUCGAUAGUGAAAGAUGGCUUUGCUAUCACUUAUAGAUGGACCUGCGCCGUAUUAGCUAGUUGGUAAGGUAACGGCUUACCAAGGCAACGAUACGUAGCCGACCUGAGAGGGUGAUCGGCCACACUGGAACUGAGACACGGUCCAGACUCCUACGGGAGGCAGCAGUAGGGAAUCUUCCGCAAUGGGCGAAAGCCUGACGGAGCAACGCCGCGUGAGUGAUGAAGGUCUUCGGAUCGUAAAACUCUGUUAUUAGGGAAGAACAAACGUGUAAGUAACUGUGCACGUCUUGACGGUACCUAAUCAGAAAGCCACGGCUAACUACGUG
rnacentral:rRNA from 1 species